GACAUGGAGCUGGGUGUGAGAUUUCUAAGGAUAGUUGUCUACCUAAUGCAGCUCUGUUCUCUGCACUUACACAGACCUGAGUACUCUGUGUAUUCUGUCUGAGUAGCACAGGGUCACUCUGGGCAGGACAGCCAUAUGGCCUCCUCUUCCCACUUCCCCUCCCUUCAUGACUGUAAGCAGACAAAACCAGGAUCCACUGGGAAAAAUCUACUUGCCUGAAGAUGCUUGUAUCUCUAGCAGGCUCUGAACCCUUUACAGUCAACUCAGUCGUGACACUCGUGGGUGGGGAAGAGAGUCAAUGGCUCUACUUAGAGGUGUGCCAAUGUGUGAAUGAAGUAUCUCAGCCUAUUAGUGGGUCUUGCCUGUACUAAGGUGAUUUAAGAAAUGUUCUUUGACAUGCCAGGGGCUGGAUGUAAGUGAGACGAAGAGACCAAAUGCCAUACCAAAAGAAGAUGACAAGGCCAGGAAAGAAUUGAAGGGCCAGAGGUUCUGUCAUAAAGCUCUUCUGCUUAAGGCACACCAUGGUUGGCACUGCCCAGCCUCCAACUUCCAGAGCAUUAAGGACUUUAUAGCAGAAUCGACACAUGUCCAUCAGUCGCCAAAGUGGGAUGAACCAGUAUGUAGCCACAUGUGACCCUUAAAAAUUUUUAAGUAAGGAAACACAUUCAGUGUCUUUGCCACACUGGACCUUUUUCAAGCUCUAAGCAGUUGUACUCAGAGAACGUGUCCAUUACUGCAGAGUUGUGUGGGUGACACAGCAUAUCAGAACUUGCUGCUAAGCCUGAUGACCUGAGCUGAUCCUUGGAAUUCAUACGGUGGAAGGAGAGAACCGAUUCCCACAAGUUGUCCUCUGACUUCCAUAGCACACGGUGUUUGAACUACUCUCGGGCAGAAGGGCAGCAGCUGGACGAGUCAGAACACCUGCAAAAGCAAGACAGCCAGAGCGUUAGCAGUUAGGGUUGUCUGAAGGGUCUGUGAGCGCCGAAGAAGAGUCGCAGUUGUUUGACCAACGCAGAUGAGUUCCGAGCUGCAUCCGCUGCAACGCUACUCAUCACGGCAUUUUGACUCCAAACACCUAGAACUGGAUUGCUUUCAAAUUAGCAACCCAAAAAAUGACACAUUGAGACACUGAAAAAAAAAAAGUGGAGGGAGAGUGCCUGCCUUGCUUAUAGGAAUACCAAUAUCCAUUCAUCGCUUGUCUUGAUGGUCCGGAGAUAGCCCACCUAGAGCGAAUCAGAAUCUAAU